CGGCAUCAGUUUGUUGUAUCAUUACAUUUGUAGUAAACGAUCGCAGAAAGAACUUCACUGUCAAAAUGAUGAAACCAGUACUUUUCACCUUCCUCUUGGUCGCCCUUUUUGCUGCGUACUCCGCAUCUCCAGUAGCUGAUGCCGAAGCUGCACCAGCUCCUUGUUGGUGGUGGCUUUUGUUAACAACAACAACAACGACUACUACUACUACCACCACCACAACCACAACCACUACAACUACUACUACUACAACAACCACUACUACUGCAGCACCAGCAGCUUAGUAGUGUCUUUGGAUAUGCAAAGUGAUCAUAAUUUACCAUCAAAAAAAAUGUUAUAAACAUUCGAUUUUCAAUAAAUUCAGUCAUAUCAAAAGUA